AUGCAAGUCGAGGGGUAACGGAAGUAGCUUGCUACUAGACGACGACCGGCGCACGGGUGAGUAACGCGUAUGUAAUCUGCCUUGUACAGAGGGAUAGCCCAGAGAAAUUUGGAUUAAUACCUCAUAGUAUUACUGAAUCGCAUGAUUCGGUAAUUAAAGCUCCGGCGGUACAAGAUGAACAUGCGUGACAUUAGCUAGUUGGUAAGGUAACGGCUUACCAAGGCAACGAUGUCUAGGGGUUCUGAGAGGAUGAUCCCCCACACUGGUACUGAGACACGGACCAGACUCCUACGGGAGGCAGCAGUGAGGAAUAUUGGUCAAUGGACGCAAGUCUGAACCAGCCAUCCCGCGUGGAGGAUGACUGCCCUAUGGGUUGUAAACUUCUUUUAUAUGCAAAUAAACCUACUUUCGUGAAAGUAGCUGAAGGUAGCAUAUGAAUAAACACCGGCUAACUCCGUGCCAGCAGCCGCGGUAAUACGGAGGGUGUAAGCGUNAUCCGGAUUUAUUGGGU
rnacentral:rRNA from 1 species